rnacentral:miRNA from 1 species
GGAUGACCAGUUAAAUUUGUAUUUCAUAAAAACAAUAAAUAAUGUUUUAGUUUAAGUAUGAUCCAUGCAGUACUUGGGACAUAAUUAUACUAAAAAUUUAUUCAUUUUUCAACUAAAAUUCAAAUUUAAUUGGGCCU